rnacentral:rRNA from 1 species
GAUGAACGCUGGCGGCGUGCCUAAUACAUGCCAGUCGAGCGAACAGACGAGAAGCUUGCUUCUCUGAUGUUAGCGGCGGACGGGUGAGUAACACGUGGAUAACCUACCUAUAAGACUGGGAUAACUUCGGGAAACCGGAGCUAAUACCGGAUGAUAUUUUGAACCGCAUGGUUCAAAAGUGAAAGACGGUCUUGCUGUCACUUAUAGAUGGAUCCGCGCUGCAUUAGCUAGUUGGUAAGGUAACGGCUUACCAAGGCAACGAUGCAUAGCCGACCUGAGAGGGUGAUCGGCCACACUGGAACUGAGACACGGUCCAGACUCCUACGGGAGGCAGCAGGAGGGAAUCUUCCGCAAUGGGCGAAAGCCUGACGGAGCAACGCCGCGUGAGUGAUGAAGGGCUUCGGAUCGUAAAACUCUGUUAUUAGGGAAGAACAUAUGUGUAAGUAACUGUGCACAUCUUGACGGUACCUAAUCAGAAAGCCACGGCUAACUACGUGC